rnacentral:rRNA from 1 species
AUUGAACGCUGGCGGCAGGCUUAACACAUGCAAGUCGAGCGGAGAUGAGGUGCUUGCACCUUAUCUUAGCGGCGGACGGGUGAGUAAUGCUUAGGAAUCUGCCUAUUAGUGGGGGACAACAUUCCGAAAGGAAUGCUAAUACCGCAUACGCCCUACGGGGGAAAGCAGGGGAUCUUCGGACCUUGCGCUAAUAGAUGAGCCUAAGUCGGAUUAGCUAGUUGGUGGGGUAAAGGCCCACCAAGGCGACGAUCUGUAGCGGGUCUGAGAGGAUGGUCCGCCACACUGGGACUGAGACACGGCCCAGACGCCUACGGAAGGCAGCAGUGGGGAAUAUUGGACAAUGGGCGGAAGCCUGAUCCAGCCAUGCCGCGUGUGUGAAGAAGGCCUUUUGGUUGUAAAGCACUUUAAGCGAGGAGGAGGCUACCUGGAUUAAUACUCUAGGAUAGUGGACGUUACUCGCAGAAUAAGCACCGGCUAACUCUGUGCCAGCCGCCGCAGUAACAC